GCUAAAUACUCCUGACUGACCGAUAGUGAACCAGUACCGUGAGGGAAAGGCGAAAAGAACCCCGGCGAGGGGAGUGAAAAAGAACCUGAAACCGUGUACGUACAAGCAGUGGGAGCACAGAGCAAUCUGUGUGACUGCGUACCUUUUGUAUAAUGGGUCAGCGACUUAUAUUCUGUAGCAAGGUUAACCGAAUAGGGGAGCCGAAGGGAAACCGAGUCUUAACUGGGCGUUAAGUUGCAGGGUAUAGACCCGAAACCCGGUGAUCUAGCCAUGGGCAGGUUGAAGGUUGGGUAACACUAACUGGAGGACCGAACCGACUAAUGUUGAAAAAUUAGCGGAUGACUUGUGGCUGGGGGUGAAAGGCCAAUCAAACCGGGAGAUAGCUGGUUCUCCCCGAAAGCUAUUUAGGUAGCGCCUCGUGAAUUCAUCUCCGGGGGUAGAGCACUGUUUCGGCAAGGGGGUCAUCCCGACUUACCAACCCGAUGCAAACUGCGAAUACCGGAGAAUGUUAUCACGGGAGACACACGGCGGGUGCUAACGUCCGUCGUGAAGAGGGAAACAACCCAGACCGCCAGCUAAGGUCCCAAAGUCAUGGUUAAGUGGGAAACGAUGUGGGAAGGCCCAGACAGCCAGGAUGUUGGCUUAGAAGCAGCCAUCAUUUAAAGAAAGCGUAAUAGCUCACUGGUCGAGUCGGCCUGCGCGGAAGAUGUAACGGGGCUAAACCAUGCACCGAAGCUGCGGCAGCGACGCUUAUGCGUUGUUGGGUAGGGGAGCGUUCUGUAAGCCUGCGAAGGUGUGCUGUGAGGCAUGCUGGAGGUAUCAGAAGUGCGAAUGCUGACAUAAGUAACGAUAAAGCGGGUGAAAAGCCCGCUCGCC
rnacentral:rRNA from 1 species